GAUGAACGCUAGCUACAGGCUUAACACAUGCAAGUCGAGGGGCAGCAUGGCCUAUCUUUCGGGAUGGGCCGAUGGCGACCGGCGCACGGGUGAGUAACGCGUAUCCAACCUUCCCUUUACUGGGGUCCAGCCCGUCGAAAGGCGGAUUAAUCCCCCAUGUUCUCCGUCCCGGACAUCUGUGUCGGAGCAAAGAUUUAUCGGUAAAGGAUGGGGAUGCGUCCGAUUAGCGUGUUGGCGGGGUAACGGCCCACCAAGGCAUCGAUCGGUAGGGGUUCUGAGAGGAAGGUCCCCCACACUGGAACUGAGACACGGUCCAG
rnacentral:rRNA from 1 species